GCGCCCAUAGCUCAGUUGGAUAGAGUGUUGGUUUCCGAAGCCAAAGGUCGCAGGUUCGACUCCUGCUGGGCGCGCCA
rnacentral:tRNA from 2 species